rnacentral:lncRNA from 1 species
UUAAAAUGAAUUUCAAGUCCCACCUACGCUGGAAGCAGAAAGAGAGAGAAGAGAGAGAGUAAAGAGAGAUAAAGAGAAAACAGAGAAGUUGAAAAAGAGAAAACCAAGAAAGAAAGAGAGAAAAAACGAAAAUAAAUGGACAAGAAAGAAAAAUGGAGGAAGUGGACCAUGAGUCAAAGGAUGUAAGUGGCCUCUGGAACCUACAAAAGGUAAGGAAACAAAUUCUCCCCUGGAGAUUCAUGAAGAGUCACAGAACUGUGGACCCAUAUUAGAUAUGUGACUUACAGAAUUGCAAAAUAAUAAAUUUUUGUUGUUUUAAGCCAAGCGCUGUGUAUAGCAAUAGGAAACUGAUGAAAUGAUUUUAUGUAGAAAAUUCCAAAAAAAAAAUCUACAAAAAUCUCUAGAACAAGAAAAAUGUAAAGGUAGCAAAGUAUAAGAUCAACCUACAAAAAUAUUGUAUAUUUCAUCAGCCAGGCAUGGUGGCUUAUGCCUGUAAUCCCAGCACUUUGGGAGGCCAAGGUGGGCACAUCACUCGAGGUCAGGAGUUUGAGACCAGCUGGGUAACAUGGUGAAACCCACUAUAAAACCCAAAAAUUUAACAGGCCAUGGUGGCCCAUGCCUGCAGUGCCAGCUACUCGGGAAGCUGAGGUGGGAGGAUGACUCAAGCCUGCAGGAUAGAGGUUGCAGUAGCUGAGACUGCUCCAUUGCACUCCAGCCUGGAUGACAGAGUAAGAUCCUAAAGACAAAACCAAACACUUAAAAUAGCUAAAACAACAACAAAAGACUGGAAUCCCUUCAUGCGAUUUCAAGUCUUCUAAUACAGUAAAAGCAUUUUUUCCCUUUCUCAUAUUUACAGUAAACCUAGUUUGUACUUGCCAUUGUCUCGGAGCAAGAACCUGUCCCAGAAAAAAAAAAAAAAGAAAAUUUCCAUUCAAAACUAACAGGAUUUAGGCCAGGCACGGUGGCUCACACCUGUAAUCCCAGCACUUUGGGAGGCUGAGGCAGGCGGAUCAACUGAGGACAGGAGUUCAAGACCAGCCUGGCCAACUUGGUGAAACCCCAUCUCUACUCAAAAUACAAAAAUUAGCCAAGGAUGGUGGCAGGCACCAGUAAUCCCAGCUACUCAGGAGGCUGAGGCAGGACACUAGCUUGAACCUGUGAGGCAGAGGUUGCAGUGAGCCAAGAUUGUGCGACAGCACUCCAGCCUGGGCAACAGAGUGAGACUGUCUCAGAAAAAACACACACACACACACACACACACACACACACAAAAACCAGGAUUUAUACUAUUGGUUUUCCACAGAAUUCUCCCAGUUGCAGAGUUUCCCAAGCACUAUUUAUUAGUGUGGCUUUGCAGGGUGCAAUGGCUCACACCUGUAAUCUCACCAGUUUGGGAGGCAGAGGAAGGAGGAUGACUUGAGUCCAAGAGUUCCAGGCUGCAAUGAGCUAUGAUUGCCACUGCACUCCAACCUGGCUAACAGAGCAAGACCCUGUCUCAAAAAAAAAAAAAAAAAAAAAAA